AACGAACGCUGGCGGCAGGCCUAACACAUGCAAGUCGAGCGGACAUCUGCGGAUGUUCGCGGCGGACGGGGGAGUAACGCGUGGGAACGUGCCCUUUGCUUCGGAAUAGCCUCGGGAAACUGGGAGUAAUACCGGAUGUACCCUUUGGGGGAAAGAUUUAUCGGCAAAGGAUCGGCCCGCGGUGGAUUAGGUAGUUGGUGGGGUAAUGGCCUACCAAGCCGACGAUGCAUAGCGGGUUUGAGAGGAUGAGCAGCCACACUGGGACUGAGACACGGCCCAGAAUCCUACGGGAGGCAGCAGUGGGGAAUCUUAGACAAUGGGGGAAACCCUGAUCUAGCCAUGCCGCGUGAGCGAUGAAGGCCUUAGGGUUGUAAAGCUCUUUCACCGGGGAAGAUAAUGACGGUACCCGGAGAAGAAGCCCCGGCUAACUCCGUG
rnacentral:rRNA from 1 species